rnacentral:lncRNA from 1 species
AGGGCCUCAGACGUUAUCUCCUCCCAUUCUCACUGCAAAAGCUUAUCCUUUCCUCUCCAUUUACUUCAUCACUUUCGUUUCAAAAUCCACCUCCCUUCGCCGUUCAAAUCGUCGAACCUCAUUCACCCUCUCACUCCGUUUCCUUCGUUGCCAUUGUUACCGUCUCCAUCACCACCUUCCUCCGUCCAAACCCUUCAAAUCCGCCGUAACUAUCACCUUCUCCGUUUCAG